AGCGAACGCUGGCGGCAGGCCUAACACAUGCAAGUCGAACGGCCCCUUCGGGGUUAGUGGCGGACGGGUGAGUAACACGUGGGAACGGGCCUUUAGGUUCGGAAUAGCUACUGGAAACGGGUGGUAAUGCCGCAUGUGCCCUUCGGGGGAAAGAUUUAUCGCCUUUAGAGCGGCACGCGUCGGAUUAGCUGGUUGGUGAGGUAAAGGCUCACCAAGGCGACGAUCAGUAGCUGGUCUGAGAGGAUGACCACCGACAUUGCGACUGAGGAACGGCCCUAACUACUAUGGGAGGCAGCAGUGGGUAAUCUUGCGCAGUGGGCGAAAGCAUGACGGAGCUAUGCUGCGUGAAUGAUGUAGGUCUUAGGAUUGUAAAAUUCUUUCACCGGUGAACAUACUGACGGUACCCGGAGAACAAGCCCCGGCUAACUUCGUGCCAGCAGCCGCAGUAAGAC
rnacentral:rRNA from 1 species